rnacentral:rRNA from 1 species
UACGAAGGGGGCUAGCGUUGUCCGGAUUUAUUGGGCGUAAAGAGCUCGUAGGCGGUUCGAUAAGUCGGACGUGAAAUCUCCACGCUCAACGUGGAGGGGCCGUUCGAUACUGUCGUGACUCGAGUCCGGUAGGGGAGUGUGGAAUUCCCGGUGUAGCGGUGAAAUGCGCAGAGAUCGGGAGGAACACCCGUAGCGAAGGCGGCACUCUGGGCCGGUACUGACGCUGAGGAGCGAAAGCGUGGGGAGCAAACAGG